rnacentral:rRNA from 1 species
AUUGAACGCUGGCGGCAUGCUUUACACAUGCAAGUCGAACGGUAACAGGCCUUCGGGUGCUGACGAGUGGCGGACGGGUGAGUAAUGCAUCGGAACGUGCCCAGAGGUGGGGGAUAACGCAGCGAAAGCUGUGCUAAUACCGCAUGUGAUCUGAGGAUGAAAGCGGGGGACCAGGCAGCAAUGUUUGGCCUCGCGCCUUUGGAGCGGCCGAUGUCAGAUUAGGUAGUUGGUGGGGUAAAGGCCUACCAAGCCGACGAUCUGUAGCUGGUCUGAGAGGACGACCAGCCACACUGGGACUGAGACACGGCCCAGACUCCUACGGGAGGCAGAAGUGGGGAAUUUUGGACAAUGGGCGCAAGCCUGAUCCAGCAAUGCCGCGUGCGGGAAGAAGGCCUUCGGGUUGUAAACCGCUUUUGUACGGAACGAAAAGGCUCUGGCUAAUACCUGGGGCUGAUGACGGUACCGUAAGAAUAAGCACCGGCUAACUACGUG